CCAAAGGCUCUUUUCAGAGCCACCCACAGCCCCGAGAAAGAGCUUG
rfam:Amazona aestiva scaffold_1371, whole genome shotgun sequence.